rnacentral:rRNA from 1 species
GACGAACCGUGCGAACGUUGUUCGGAUUCACUGGGCGUAAAGGGUGCGUAGGUGGCUAGGUAAGUUCGAUGUGAAAUCUCCGGGCUUAACCCGGAAAGUGCAUUGAAUACUAUCUAGCUUGAGGGUUGGAGGGGGGACUGGAAUUCUCGGUGUAGCAGUGAAAUGCGUAGAUAUCUGGAGGAACACCGGUGGCGAAGGCGGCGUCCUGGACCAAUACUGACACUGAGGAGCGAAAGCCAGGGGAGCAAACGGG